rnacentral:rRNA from 1 species
UACGAAGGGGGCUAGCGUUGCUCGGAAUCACUGGGCGUAAAGCGCACGUAGGCGGAUUGCUAAGUCAGGGGUGAAAUCCUGGAGCUCAACUCCAGAACUGCCCUUGAUACUGGCGGUCUCGAGUCCGGGAGAGGUGAGUGGAACUGCGAGUGUAGAGGUGAAAUUCGUAGAUAUUCGCAAGAACACCAGUGGCGAAGGCGGCUCACUGGCCCGGUACUGACGCUGAGGCACGAAAGCGUGGGGAUCAAACAGG